rnacentral:rRNA from 1 species
CCUACGGGGGGCAGCAGUGGGGGAUAUUGCACAAUGGGGGUAACCCUGAUGCAGCGACGCCGCGUGAGCGAAGAAGUACCUCGGUAUGUAAAGCUCUAUCAGCAGGGAAGAAAAUGACGGUACCUGACUAAGAAUCCCCUGCUGAAUACGUGCCAGCAGCCGCGGUAAAACGUCUGGGGCGAGUGUUAGGCGGAUGUACUGGGGGGAAAGGGAGCGCAGGCGGCCUGCCAAGUCUGGUGUGAAAACCCGGGGCCCAACUCCGGGACGGCAUGGGAAACUGGCGGGCUGGAGUGUCGGAGGGGAAUGCGGAAUUCCUAGUGUAGCGGUGAAAUGCGUAGAUAUCAGGAGGAACACCGGUGGCGAAGGCGGCCAUCUGGACGAUGACUGACGCUGAGGCUCGAAAGCGUGGGGAGCAAACAGGAUUAGAUACCCCUGUAGUC